ACCAGCAAGGGGCCCUGCCCCCCUCCCAAUACUAUGGAUUUGUUCAUAAUAAACACAUGAACAAUGCAGCAUUUGCCUUGUUUUCUGCUCCAACCGGCCCUCCCCAACAUCCUAAUCCCACUAAUCCCGCCUCCGCCACUGCAGGCAUGCCGGCCUUUUCUUAAUUGCUAUACUUUUGAGGACGCAUCACUAAAAAAACUAAAAGAGGUACCACAAGUCUAUAAAACCCUUAUUACAUUUUUGCAUACAUACAGAAGUGAAAAAUGAAAGUGAAUUUAGCUAUAUACUUUGAAAAUUGUAGUGGUUUUGCAUGUCUCAUAAUUUUUUUGUUAUGAUAUUAUUUUGUUCGCCGGUAUUUAACCCUUGGGGAUUUUUAUCUUUCCCAUUCAGAGUAGUCCAAUUGAUACUUCUGAUGGACAUACGACAGGUUGCUGAUGAUGUCGUCUAAUCCAUAUUGGAAGGUUUAAUAACGUACUUGAACACUAAAACUAUAUAAUGGAUGGUUCUAGAUGGGGGCAGGGAUCCUCUAUUUCCUUUACCAAAUGGAGUCGGUCGUAAUCACAUGUUGUCUGACCUUCUCUCUAUGCUCUCUUCACCUUAUUCUUUGCAUCAUUUCACCGGUACAAGUCAACAGAUGGGUAUUACUGUUUCCAGUAUGUUGUGUGUCGGUGGCCUGAAGCACAAGCUACUCACUAUACUAUAUAGUACCGUGCUACAACUGUGAAUUUUGCAAUCCUGGUAUACCCUAAUUUGAGGUGAUUUGUAUGCCAGGUUAUCCUAAUCUUUAUGUAUCUGAUGCUAAAACCAUCAUGCUUGCUUGCAGAGAUUCAGUUAAGACUUAAAUUAACAAUUGUGUAUCUGAAGACUGACAUUUGAAAUUACAGGUUUCAUGGCAAUGAUGAAGUGCUACCAAAUUAUGUUCCAAGAAAAAUGAUUUCUGCUUCAACUUGACUACAUGUACGUGACUUGCAGUCAGUAUGAAGUUCAUUACACUACUAAUAUUAAUUUCCUCAUCUCCUUUAUUUAGCUAUUUGUCUAUAGUCAACUCACAUCACUCGACAUCUACAGGCAUGUUGAAUUGUUGACCCGAUUUGACGGACUAUAUAAGUGCUCUUCUCCUUGGGAAUUUGAAAGCACGCCCCUUCUAAGCAUCGCACAAUAUAUAUGCUUAUAUAUGUGGUAGCAGUCAUUGGUACAAGCAUAUGUGCAUUAGACCAGAAAAAAGGUAAGUUGCCUUUGAUACUGAUCUAGUACCCCCCUAUAAGCGUAUGAUAUUAAAUAGGUUUCUAUUGAUUUAUCAACAAAGAAUUUAUGUCAAUUGAUUUAAUGUCGAUAUAAGCUUUAUGCAAGUUUGUUUUCUCGAGAGUACACAAUCAGUACUAUAGCUUCUUUAUAUAAGUUUGUGAUUUCUGAAGUAGUGGAUCCUACCAGGUUUCAAACUCGCAGAGCAUAUUGAAGGUGGUACAAAUCAUUGCAGAGUGAAUUACAAGUAGCUAUAUGUGGAUUGGAAUUUACUGAAGCUUUGCAUAUUCAAAAUUUUAAGUUAAAUGAGACGUGCAUUGCACGUGCAAGGUUACUAGUGGUAGUAAAGGAGC
rnacentral:lncRNA from 1 species